AUUUUGGGUUCCUUGAUUUCCUUGGGAGGAUAUAGUCUUGGGUGAUUGGAUCUUCUAAACCAGUAUUCAUUGCAGAAAAGCUCUCCUCCAAGACUCACCAGAGAGCAUUCGGUGUUCUCAUCUGUCAGCAAGUGUGCGUGGAGCACCUGUGUACCAGAUUCUGUCCGGUCCUAGGGGUGUGAUGGGGAAGAAACAGGCAAGAGCCCCAUUCUUCUACAUUCUUGCAGGGAGACACUGCAAUGCACAAGUAAGCGCAUGAAUAAAGGACGCAGAGAUGGUGACCAGUGCCAGGAAGGAGGACCUCUAGAGAGGAGCUGGAGAAGGAUGGAGAGGGAAGCUCAUGGAAUAUUAAAACAAUUAAGGGAAAUUUUCACGCGAGUCAAAACCUUCCACAGUGCAGAAGCUCGCUUGAUUUUCCCUCCCUCCUUCAAAGCAUCAAUUUGAGGUCCCUGACGACUGAGAACUCGAUCAGGCCCCGAGCGGAGGAGAGUGUUGCUCAGCCCUGGUCUGGAGAUGCCUCCCUCCCCGAGCAGCUGCUUCGUGAUGACAGGAGGUGCCCAUAGAGCUUGAAUCUGUCCA
ensembl:lncRNA